UACGUAGGUGGCAAGCGUUGUCCGGAUUUAUUGGGUUUAAAGGGUGCGUAGGUGGUCUAUUAAGUCAGUGCUGAAAUAUCUCGGCUUAACCGGGAGGGUGGCAUUGAUACUGAUGGACUUGAGUAAAGUUGAGGUGGGCGGAAUUGACGGUGUAGCGGUGAAAUGCUUAGAUAUCGUCAAGAACACCUAUUGCGAAGGCAGCUCACUAAGCUUUAACUGACACUGAGGCACGAAAGUGUGGGGAUCAAACAGG
rnacentral:rRNA from 1 species